UACGUAGGGUGCAAGCGUUGUCCGGAAUUAUUGGGCGUAAAGGGCUCGUAGGCGGUCUGUUGCGUCGGGAGUGAAAACUUACAGCUUAACUGUGAGCGUGCUUUCGAUACGGGCAGACUGGAGUACUGCAGGGGAGACUGGAAUUCCUGGUGUAGCGGUGGAAUGCGCAGAUAUCAGGAGGAACACCAAUUGCGAAGGCAGCUCGCUGGGACGUAACUGACGCUGAGACGCGAAAGCGUGGGGAGCAAACAGG
rnacentral:rRNA from 1 species